rnacentral:rRNA from 1 species
AGCAGCCGCGGUAAUUCCAGCUCCAAUAGCGUAUAUUAAAGUUGUUGCAGUUAAAAAGCUCGUAGUUGAAUUUCGGAAUCAAUGGAUCGGUCAUGCCACUCGGUGUGUACUGGUUUGAUUGGUUCUCACCUUCUAAGGAACCGUGAUGUCAUUAAUUUGGUGUCGCGGGGAAUUAGGACUGUUACCUUGAAAAAAUUAGAGUGUUUAAAGCAAGCUCACGCUUGAAUACAUUAGCAUGGAAUAAUGAAAUAGGACAUUGUAUUCUAUUUUGUUGGUUUCUAGGAUCGAUGUAAUGAUUAAUAGGGAUAGUUGGGGGCAUUAGUAUUCAAUUGUCAGAGGUGAAAUUCUUGGAUUUAUUGAAGACUAACUACUGCGAAAGCAUUUGCCAAGGAUGUUUUCAUUAAUCAAGAACGAAAGUUAGGGGAUCGAAGACGAUCAGAUACCGUCGUA